rnacentral:rRNA from 1 species
AGAGUUUGAUCCUGGCUCAGGAUGAACGCUAGCGGCGUGCCUAACGCAUGCAAGUCGAACGGACCACUUUCUUCGGAUGGUGGUUAGUGGCGUCCGGGUGAGUAACACGUUGGUGACCUACCCCGCAGUGGGGGAUAACUCCUCGAAAGAGGUGCUAAUACCGCAUGUGGUCCAGCCAUCAGAGGUUGGAUCAAAGGCCCGCAAGGGUCGCUGUGGGAGGGGCCUGCGUCCCAUCAGCUAGUUGGUAGGGUAAUGGCCUACCAAGGCUAUAACGGGUAGCUGGUCUGAGAGGAUGAUCAGCCACACUGGCACUGAAACACGGGCCAGACUCCUACGGGAGGCAGCAGCGAGGAAUAUUGCGCAAUGGGCGGAAGCCUGGCGCAGCAACGCCGCGUGGGGGACGAAGGCCUUCGGGUCGUAAACCCCUUUUCCAGGGGAUGAGGAAGGACAGUACCCUGGGAAUAAGUCUCGGCUAACUACGUGCCAGCAGCCGCGGUAAAACGUAGGAGGCAAGCGUUAUCCGGAUUUAUUGGGCGUAAAGCGCAUGUAGGCGGCUUCGUAAGUCGAGCGUGAAAUCUCCUGGCUCAACUAGGAGAGGUCGUUCGAUACUGCGAGGCUUGAGGGCAGGAGAGGGAAGUGGAAUUCCCGGUGUAGUGGUGGAAUACGUAGAUAUCGGGAGGAACACCAGUGGCGAAAGCGGCUUCCUGGCCUGCCCCUGACGCUGAGGUGCGAAAGCGUGGGUAGCAAACGGGAUUAGAUACCCCGGUAGUCCACGCCCUAAACGAUGGCAACUAGGUGUGGGAGAUAUUGACCUCUUCCGUGCCGAAGCAAACGCGUUAAGUUGCCCGCCUGGGGACUACGGUCGCAAGGCUAAAACUCAAAGGAAUUGACGGGGCCCGCACAAGCAGCGGAGCGUGUGGUUUAAUUCGAUGCAACGCGAAGAACCUUACCUGGGCUUGACAUGCACGUAGUAGUGAACCGAAAGGGGAACGAGCCUUCGGGCAGCGUGCACAGGUGCUGCAUGGCUGUCGUCAGCACGUGCCGUGAGGUGUUGGGUUAAGUCCCGCAACGAGCGCAACCCCUGUUGCUAGUUAUACGUGUCUAGCGAGACUGCCGGUAUCAAACCGGAGGAAGGUGGGGAUGACGUCAAGUCAGCAUGGCCUUUAUGUCCAGGGCUACACACACGCUACAAUGGGUGGUACAAUGGGUCGCCAAACCGUGAGGUGGAGCCAAUCCCAUCAAAGCCAUCCUCAGUUCGGAUUGCAGGCUGCAACCCGCCUGCAUGAAGCUGGAGUUGCUAGUAACCGCAGGUCAGCCAUACUGCGGUGAAUACGUUCCCGGGCCUUGUACACACCGCCCGUCACGUCAUGGGAGCCGGUAACACCUGAAGUCGGUGGGCCAACCGCAAGGAGGUAGCCGCCGAGGGUGGGACUGGUGACUGGGACGAAGUCGUAACAAGGUA